GACGAACCGUGCGAACGUUAUUCGGAAUCACUGGGCUUAAAGCGCGUGUAGGCGGGACGGCACGUCGGUCGCUGAAAUCCCCCGGCUCAACCGGGGAACGGGCGCCGAUACGACCGCCCUGGAGGGGCGUAGGGGGACCUGGAACUUCCGGUGGAGCGGUGAAAUGCGUUGAGAUCGGAAGGAACGCCCGUGGCGAAAGCGAGGUCCUGGACGCUUACUGACGCUGAGACGCGAAAGCCAGGGGAGCGAACGGG
rnacentral:rRNA from 1 species